rnacentral:lncRNA from 1 species
GUGGUUUGGUCAGCACAUCUGCUACCUGCAACUCAAUUGGCACAUAGUUGACCUACAGCUCAUUCUUCAAUCCCUUCAUACACAAAAAGGCAAAAGUUGGCUGUUAGAAACUGAAUUCCCUCAUAGCACAAAUCAUCAGUAAAUAAGAUUGGCAGAGGAAUUUCAUUUAAUCUUAGGAAGUUGGUGUUCAAACAGAUCAUUGAACAUGCUGAGUCAUCAGCCACAAUGGAAUUUUUACCCUUUCUCAUAGAACAACACAAUAUCUUGGUAUCUAAGGAUGAGGUACCUACAACGCCCUACAUCCUUUCAAAAUCCAGAAGAAGCUAUUCUCCACCAAUCGUGUCAAUAAUCUUUCCCAUGUAGCCUCUGUUCAUUGCAGAUGUUUAGACAGAACAAGCGACAGACCCCUCAAUGAAAUCUGCCCAAAAGUGUUAGCUUCUAGAGUUUUUUUGAGGGGAGAAGUUAACUCUCUCACUGUUGAUAUUCAGAAACUUGUUGCCAAAAAAGCCAAGUUGUCUGAACUAAUUUGUGACAUUGGAAAAACACCAUGGUAGGGAGAACAGUUCUAAGCUUUUUAACAAAAAGGGGGAGAACGGUGCUAAUGGUUGCUGCUACGGGGAGUUUGUGAUGUUGGUUCUUGCUGCUAUCUUUUGUUUCUUGCUGAAGUUUAGGUGGAGCUUAUUGGUUUUAUGAUUCUGCUGCUAUGUUGCUUUUAUGCUUAGGAAGUUAUUAUUAGGAAGUUAAUUUUUGUGCUCCUGUGUGAGCAAUAUCUUAAUGAUGUAUUCAACAUCUUUCAUGAGUUACUUAUUCAGUUUAUAUUUGGUAUCUCAUGAGUGUUUGUGGCAUGGUCAUUUGCUCAUGUUUUGUCAAAAAACCAAGAGAGGAGAUUGUUGGAAUCAUAGUAGAAAUGAUCACAGAGGAAUAAGGAAAAAAAAUUGCAAAUUUUACGUGCAAA